rnacentral:lncRNA from 1 species
AUUUCCUCAUCCCUGGUGUGUCGAUCGAUUCUCGGUGAUCCGGAAAACCCUAGCUCUUCAAUCUUUUGGUGUUGCGGGUGUGAUUUGCAGUGAUAAACAUGAUGAUAUAGCAGCUGCAAUUUAGUGGAACAGAGUGUAAAAAAGUUCAAAUUUUUGUGGAGAAUUCUUUCUAGUUUGAGAUUUGAAUGAAUGAGACCUGAUGCUACUGUAAAAUGCACCAAGAGGAGGCCAUUUUUAGAGAAGGAUGAUGACAUGUGUGACAAAUUUGAAGGAUAAAGAUCACGGCUAUACUAGCUCACUGGGUUAACUGGGUUCUCCUUUCCAGCUAGAGUUGAAGUGUAACCUUAAGGGUGCAUUUGGUUCGCAUUAUGAAAGAUUACUAGGAAUAAAAGAUAUCUAAGAAUCUUAUUCCUAUUCAUCUUAUUACUAAGAAUGUGGAAUUCUUGUGUUUGGUUCGCACGGUAAUAUUAAUUAGCCAUGUUAUUUAAUAUUACAAAAAAUAUACAAUUAAUUAAUUUAUUUAUUUAAUUAAUUUUAGAUAAUGUUAUCAAAAGUUUCAACAUCUUUUUAGAAAAAAGUGAGAGAGAGUAUAAGUUAGAGAGAGAGAGCAUAAUUAAAAAAAUAGAAAGAAAAAUAUAGUCGAAAUUAGAGGGAGUGAGAGAGUUGAAAUUUUAGAAAGAGAGAGAGAGAGAGAAAGCUUAGUUUAGAGAGAAAAAAAAAAAAGUUGAAUUUUAGAGAGAAAAAUAAGUUUAGAGAGAGAUAUAAGGUUAGAGUGUAAAGAAAAAUAAUAUCAAUUAGCUGGCGGGUAGGAAGAAAGAAAGAGAUUAGAUAUAUUAUGAUUAUCCCAAUCCAUUAAUAUGAGGAUACCCACCCUCCCUCAAAUGAAUGAGAUUAGUACUUUGGGGUGAUUCUUAUUCCCAAGUGAAUCUAAUAUUACCAACUAGAUUACUUAGUGCGUUUAGCCAAAUACCGUCAUAUUUUUUUAUUCACAUUGGAUUACUAGUAAUCUGUAAAAGAUAGCGCGAACCAAACGGACCCUAAGUUCAUCUAGCUGGUAAUGACAUAGAUUGCCACAUGUAUCCGGGAUUUUGGAUUACUAAGCUUCUUUCAUAGUUUUUUCUUUUUCUUGAUUGUUUUACCAUUGCAUUAUAGAUUUCUACUUUCUCCAUCUGGUCGAUCACAUAUCAGAAAUUUGUCUAAUUGUCGAUAUUCACAUGUAUAACCAAUUUAAUCAUUGUGGUCUUACUGUUUUUGGUCAAUUGGUA